GAAAUGCGAUAAGUAAUGUGAAUUGCAGAAUUCCGUGAAUCAUCGAAUCUUUGAACGCACAUUGCGCCCUCUGUCAUUCCGGGGGGCAUGCCUGUCCGAGCGUCAUUACGCACCCUCAAGCCCGGCUUGUGUGAUGGGCCCCGGCGUCUCGUUCGCGAGACGGGCCCGAAAGGCAGCGGCGGCGUCGACCCGAUGAGCCCGAGCGUAUGGGGACUUCUGUCACACGUUCGCGGUGCGGACCGGCGCCUGCUUUGACUUUUCUGAUUAUCCAGGUUGACCUCGGAUCAGGUAGGGAUACCCGCUGAACUUAAGC
rnacentral:misc_RNA from 1 species